rnacentral:tRNA from 1 species
ACUAUAUUAGUUUAACAAAACAUUAAAUUGCAAAUUUAACUAAUAAAUCAAUAUUGAU